GAGGGUACAGCUCAGUGAUAGAGCAUGUGCUUAGCAUGCAUGAGGUCCUGGGUUCAAUCCCCAGUACCUCCA
rnacentral:tRNA from 1 species